rnacentral:rRNA from 1 species
UUGAAUGGCCGCAGUAAUUUGACUGUGCAAAGGUAGCAUAAUCAUUAGUUUUUUAAUUAAAAGCUUGAAUGAAUGGUUGGACGAAAUAAAAUCUGUCUCUUUUUGAUAAUUAGAAUUUAAUUUUUAAGUUAAAAAGCUUAAAUUUUUGUAAAAGACGAGAAGACCCCAUAGAUUUUUAUAUUUUUUUUUAUAUUUUUAAUUAGGAAUAUUUUAUUAAUUAUAGAUUUAAGUAUUAUAUUGGGGUAAUAGAAAGAUUGAUAAAAUUCUUUUUUAAAAUAUUCAAUAAUUUUUGUUUAUUUGAUCCUUUAUUAUAGAUUAAAAGAUUAAGUUACCUUGGGGAUAACAGCGUAAUUUUUUUAGAGAGUUCUUAUCGAAAAAAGAGUUUGCGACCUCGAUGUUGGAUUAAAAUUUAUUUCGGGUGAAGAAGUUCGAAGGUUUGGUCUGUUCGACCAUUAAAUUUUUACAUGAUCUGAGUUCAGACCGGCGUAAGCCAGGUUGGUUUCUAUCUUUAUUUAAGUAAUUUAUUUUAGUACGAAAGGACCAAAUAAUUAAUAUAUUAGUAUUUAUUUGUUGGAUAAGGUUAUUAUUUUGGCAGAUUAGUGCGGUGAAUUUAGAAUUCAUAAAUGUAAAUUUUUACAAAUAAUAUUGUUUUUUUAUGAUUUAUUAUUUUCUUUUAUUGGAAUAUUGCUUUUAGUAAUUUGUGUAUUAUUAGGUGUGGCUUUUCUCACUUUG